rnacentral:piRNA from 1 species
UGUAUGGAACAUCCUUAGCCCAGAGGCUGA